rnacentral:rRNA from 1 species
GACGAACGCUGGCGGCGUGCCUAAUACAUGCAAGUCGAACGCAGUGGGGACGGGUGAGUAACACGUGGGUAACCUCCCAUGAGAGGGGAUAACACUUGGAAAUAGGUGCUAAACCGAUAUUGAUGGAUGUACCCGCGGUGCAUUAGCUAGUUGGUGAGGUAACGGCUCACCAAGGCGACGCUGCAUAGCCGAGGUGAGAGGGUGGUCGGCCACAUUGAGACUGAGACACGGCCCAGACUACAACGAUAGGGAGCAGUGGAGAAUCGUCGAAAAGGGACAAAAAUCUGACCGAGCAACGCCGCGUGAGUGAAGAGAGUUAUCGUAUAGUAACCCUCUGUUGUUAGCAAAGCGGUAUCUAACCAGAAAGCAACGGCUAACUACGUGCCAGCAGCCGCGGUAAUAC